CGCGGCCUAUCAGCUUGUUGGUGGGGUAAUGGCCUACCAAGGCGACGACGGGUAGCCGGCCUGAGAGGGUGACCGGCCACACUGGGACUGAGACACGGCCCAGACUCCUACGGGAGGCAGCAGUGGGGAAUAUCGCACAAUGGGCGAAAGCCUGAUGCAGCGACGCCGCGUGAGGGAUGACGGCCUUCGGGUUGUAAACCUCUUUCGCCAGGGACGAAGCGCAAGUGACGGUACCUGGAUAAGAAGCACCGGCUAACUACGUGCCAGCAGCCGCGGUAAUACGUAGGGUGCGAGCGUUGUCCGGAUUUAUUGGGCGUAAAGAGCUCGUAGGCGGUUUGUCGCGUCGGCCGUGAAAUCUCCACGCUUAACGUGGAGCGUGCGGUCGAUACGGGCAGACUUGAGUUCGGUAGGGGAGACUGGAAUUCCUGGUGUAGCGGUGAAAUGCGCAGAUAUCAGGAGGAACACCGGUGGCGAAGGCGGGUCUCUGGGCCGAUACUGACGCUGAGGAGCGAAAGCGUGGGGAGCGAACAGGAUUAGAUACCCUGGUAGUCCACGCUGUAAACGUUGGGCGCUAGGUGUGGGCGACAUCCACGUUGUCCGUGCCGUAGCUAACGCAUUAAGCGCCCCGCCUGGGGAGUACGG
rnacentral:rRNA from 1 species